CGCGCGGCGAGGAGAGCGCGCGUGACCACAACAAGCUCCGCAUGGGUUCAUAUUAGCUCUUUGGAAUGCUCAAUUAUGAUUGGUCAAUGGCGAAAUCUAGUGGUCUGAUAUCUCCAAGUAACAACCGCACAUCUUCAUAUCAGGCCGCUCAUCUGGGUAUUGUGAAUUUGCGAGUCAUCUUUCCUGCUUCUCGGAUCACUGUGUGAUCUCUACAGAUGUAGAUCAAGGAGUCCUGCAACAGAUGGUAUGGCCCCUACAGAGCCCUGAUCUCAAUAUCAUUGUGUCAGUCUGGGAUUACAUUAAGAGACCGAAGCAACUGAGACAGCCUAUACAUCGAACUGUGGCAAGUACUCCAAGAUGCUUGGAACAACCUAUCUGCCAAAAACCUUAGAAUUUACCUAAGUUUGCCCAAGAGAACUGGUGCUGUUUUAAAGGCAUAGGGUGACACAAAAUAUAUUUGUUUACUGCACUUUGUAAGAAGUUAUUUGAUAAAUAAAAAUUAUUGAUGACAUUAUUUUUGAUAACAUCAUCACAGUACAACAUUUUUCACCACUGCCUAAGACUUUUGCACAGAAAUAUAUACUGUAUGUACACAUAUUUAUAUAUAUACACCUUGGCGGGCAAAAGUUUGGAAUAAUGUACAGAUUUUGCUGUUUCGGAAGGAAAUUGGUACUUUAAUUCACCAAAGUGGCAUUCAACAGAUCACAAAGCAUCGUCAGGACAUUACUGAUGUAAAAAAACAGCACCAUCACUAUUUUAAAAAAGUCAUUUUUGAUCAAACCUAGACAGGCCCCAUUUCUAGCAGCCAUCACUCCAACACCUUAUCCUUGAGUAAUCAUGCUAAAUUGCUAAUUUGGUACUAGAAAAUCACUUGCCAUUAUAUUAAACACUGCUGAAAGCUAUUUGGUUCAUUAAAUGAAACUUAAAAUUGUCUUUGUGUUUGUUUUUGCCACAGUAUGCAAUAGACUGGCAUGUCUUAAGAUCAAUAUUAGGUCAAAAAUGGCAAAAAAAAAAGAAAAAAAAAAAAAAAGAAAAGAAAACAAAAAAAAGAAACAGCUUUCUCUAGAAACUUGUCAGUCAAUCAUUGUUUUGAGGAAUGAAGGCUAUACAGUGCUUGAAUUUGCAAAAAAACUGAAUAUGUCAUACAAAGGUGUACACUACAGUCUUCAAAGACAAAGGACAACUGUCUCUCUAGUUUGAGAAAUAGACGCCUCACAUGUCCUCAGCUGACAGCUUCAUUGAAUUCUACCCACUCAACACAAGUUUCAUGUACAACAGUAAAGAAAAGACUCAGGUAUGCAGGCCUUAUGGAAAGAAUUGCAAAGAAAAAGCCACUUUUGAAACAGAAAAAAAAAAAGAAAAGGUUAGAGUGGGCAAAGAAACACAGACAUUCGACAACAAAUAAUUGGAAAAAAGUUUAUGGAUCUUAACCCCAUUGAGCUUUUGUGGGAUCAGCUAGACUAUAAGGUGCGUGAGAAGUGCCCGACAAGACUGCCACAUCUAUGGAAAGUGCUACAGGAAGCAUGGGUUGAAAUGUCACCUGAGUAUUUGGACAAACUGACAGCUAGAAUGCCAAGGAUCUACAAAGCUGCCAUUGCUGCACAUGGAGGAUUUUUUUUUAU